UUUCUUCUUCUUUUUUUUUUUUUAGUAUUUUACAAUGCACACCGUUUGCCACUCCCUUUAAAAAUAUGUCAUUUUUAAUUUUAUGUGGGUAUGUGUGUGUGCAUGCGUGUGAACAUGUGAAUAAGUGCAUGUGCGUGCGUGUGUGUGUGUGUGUGUGUGUGUGUGUGUGUCGUAUGUGUGUGUUCCCUUUAGAACUCAGAAGAGAGUGCUGGAUCCCUGGAUCUGGAGUCACGGAGCUGCCUCACAUGGGUGCUGGGACCCUGACUUGGGUCCUCUGGAAGAGCAGCAAGUGCUUAUAACUGCGGAUCCAACUCCCAGUCUAAAAAGGUUAUUUUUUUUUUAAAUAAAGAAAAUGCUCAGAUUAAACAAAUGGUAACUCUCCUCCCCUCCCCUCUACCCUUCCCUUUCCCUCUCUUCUUCUCCCCCCCUUCCUUGAUCUAAUAGGACACAUCAAUAUGCAGAAAAACUCGAGCCAGAUCUGCCUACUUCAACUGUCUUAUUCAGCACUGUAUGCCCAGCCACACAGUCCACACGGUACCUAGUCAUAUGACAAGAGACUGGAAAGAUGGCCACUGGCUGAUGCUGGGCUGUAGCCACACCACAUGUUGCCAGAGGAGACCAGGAGACAGAGGGCACCUGGAAGAAGAUGACAGUCACUAGGGGGAGAAGCUGCUAAGGAGGCAUGGAUUGUUCUGCCACGCUGUCCAUGGUUUCCUGCAGUGUAGUGGGCAGCGAUUUUGCCAGCCAGGAUUUGUGGUAUCUUUUUCAAGGGAUCAUCCUCCUGACUAAUGGGGUGCUUCCACCCCCCCAAGUAUUCAGAGAGGGGGUGAUGUCAGGAGAGUGGCCUUUUAAUCUUAGCUUCAUUUCCUUCGGCUGCUGACUCAGUCACUGGUGGUGGUACCCUGCUCCACGGUAGUGGGGCAAUGUUCUGAACUAGCUCAAGACACGAGGCAGUGCCCGUAGCCUUAGCCUCAGGAAGUCUCACUCUGAGUAAGUAGUUACCUGUUGGCUGCAGCCUUACGUCUUUUAAGGGAGCUUUCUAGGCUCCUGUGCAGUCACUUCUGCAGGAGAAAUUGUGUGUGUGUGUGUGUGUGUGUGUGUGUGUGUGUGCCCGCACACGCGCGCGCACUCUCACGCAUGUCUGUGCAUCCAUGUUUAAGUGCAUGCACAUAUGUGCAUGAGUGUGUACAUAUGUGCAUGCAUGCAUGCAUGUGCAUGAGUGUGUGCAUGUCUGUGCAUUCAUGUCUAUAUGUGCACACAUACGUGCAUGAGUGUAUUUGUGUGCAUGCAUGUGCACGAGUGUAUGCUUAUAUAUGCCUAUAUAUGUUGUGUGUACGUAUGGGUGCAUGAAUCUGGGUGAAUGGUUUUCCAUGAGCAGUCUACUCACAUACAAUGAUGGCUCUUAUAUCUCGUUGUUCUUGUUUGAAUGUGAAAUGCUCCCAUGGGCUUGCGUGUUUGAACACUUGGUGGUGCCAUGUUGGGAGGUGGUGGAACCUUUAAGAGGCGGGGCUUAAUUGGGGGCAGUGGGUCACUGUUCCUGGCCUUUAAGGGUGAUAGCUCACCAGGCUUCCCAGUCAAAAACUCUGCUUCCUGUUUUCCACUUUCCCGCAACAGACUCUGGCUCUUGCCUUCCCAUCUCCCUGCCACGGUGGACUCUGCUCUCUGAAACCAGGCACCAUAAAUAAAGUCCCUUCAGCUGCGGGGACUACGCAGUGAGGAGCUAUGUGAGGAGUAGCUGGAGUGAGCAGCAGAGGCCCAGUUUGGAGAAAAACAAACCCUUUGGCAGCUCCAUGCUUCCUUUAGCCACAUGUUUGGGGGUGGGCCAGGCCAUAUGACCUUGACUGGAGGUCUGCCCUCCCUCCCAAUCGAGGGUCCUGGACACAUCAGGGGCAUUUUCAAGCUCCACGCCAGUGUUCUUCCAAUCAAUAAGCCUUCUGAGGGAAGCCUGGGUGCUCAGGAAGCAUGCCUUUCCCACAAUGCCCUUCGAACGUUUCCACAUGAUCACGGAGUGGAUAUGGGGGUAGAGAUGCCCUGGGUUUGAUGGCCCUUGGUCUCCCAGCCAUGGGAAGGGUCAGUUUCUGCAGCUUCUAGGAAUCUAGGACACACUGUUCCUAUGAUAACAUUGAAAAAUGAGUUGGAAAACCUUGGCUUGUGUGACUCUCGCUCACCAUGCCAAGUUCAAGGAGAGGCGGAGACAUCGGCUCCCUUGUCCCGACUGAAAGCUUUUCGGGUUCUGUCUUGGUUCAGUCUUCGUUUAAGAGGCAUAAGGUAGCUUCGUUAAGUGUCAGUAAACAAUAGCUUAUGUCUAAAUUUGGGGCAUCAUACUGAAGACACAGGCUCUGUCCCCCUUGAGAUGGGGGAAGGCAGAGAAUUACAAAAGAAAAUUAAGAAGCGUUCGUAUCUAAGCCAUCUGGGAACAUAGAUUGGCAGAAAAUGUCCCAGGCCUGAAUUGCACGUUACUCUGAGCACAUCUGUCAAUGGGAAAAAAGGGUCCCAGAUUGCCAAGCAGCAGGAACGCUGGCUCAGUGAGGACCGCUUAGAUACAUUACCAGCAAACUCCCAAUUAACCGAUUAAUCAAUGCCAUUGAUUUAAUCCCAUUCAGUAUUUAAUUACAUGCAAGCCUUCAAUCAAUACCUGUUUAGACCUGGAACUCCUUGGGAGUGAAUCUUGCCUGCCCCUCCCACUGGCUACUGAGAGGUCUCAGCACAGCUCCAAGGACCCUGGCCACAGCUGCUACAUGAAAUCAACAAAUGAGCAGAUGCAAUUGAGCUAAGCAGUCUAACGUCUGAGCCAUAUCCCUGGCAUCAUCGUCAUCAUCACCAUCACCAUCACCAUCAGCCCAUCACCCACCUGCCAAUUGUCUCACAGAAGUCAAAAUGCUGCCCUAAGAGACCUGAGCAUCAUGUAGAAGAGAAUUGAACACCAUGCUUAAAGCCUUGCCCAAAAGUGAUCAGAGGACCAGUUUCACAUCUGGGAGCUCCUGGGAGCUGUGGAAUCUCAGGGUACAGCAGGCUUGCUGCUGCGCAAGUCCUUUUGUCUUAAUGACAUCUCCAGGUGAUUCAAUUGCAUGCUAAAAUCUGGGCUGUCCUUGUCUGAAACACUGGCUACCAGGCGACACUAAACCCUGCCAUUCACUUAAACCACAACAGUGUUAAGCUACGCUGGCCCCCAGAGUUGCCUGGGCUAACAAAAACCCCUGUUCUCCACACUGGGCUGGGGCAACCCGGGUCCCUCUGCGAGGCAGGGCACACAGGCCCCGGGAGCAUAAGUGGAGAAAUGUGCUCCUAGGUAAAACAGUGUUGGGGAUAGCAAUGUUAAGCUGUGGGUACUCUGUUAGCCUUGACUUACGCCUGAGAGACGCUUAGUGAGUUUGCACGGGUCAUGGCCACCUACUACAGUAAUCAAAGCUGAACGGAAGACGCUGGGCCUGAGAGGAAGCGCUCUGCCAAGUUCUGCGUGGGCUUUUCACUAUUAUAAUGAUGUUCCCUAGCAACCCCCAAUUAAGAAGUCCCCAGAAACCUUCCCACCAGACCCUGCACUGGGGACUGGGGGAAAUGAGUCCAGUCAACUCCUUCCCAGAGGGAUCUGUGGCUGUUCCUUUGACACCAGCUGCUUAGUGGCAUCCGGUGGCUUUUUAAGUGAAGGCAAGGAGCUACUGCAGUCUGGGGGGGGGUCGUUGAAGCCUUUUGGGGAGCAAUUGAUGAUUAGAGGGGGGAAGGUGAAUGAAGGAAAGAGAGAGGAAAGAGAGACCAGAGACCCAAAUAGAAAAGCUCAUAGAUGCCACAUGAGUUAAUAAACAGAUGGCCCACCUGUUACCAGAAGCCAGCGAAUCAAAGAUCAGCAGGAGGCUGGCUCUCUGUCUAGCAAAUGUUGACUCUCUAGAGCAAAGGCUGUGUGAAGCUUUCUCUGUCUCUCUCUGUCUGUCUCUGUCUUUGUCUGUCUGUCCCUGUCUGUCUGUCUGUCUCUCUUCUCUCUCUUUCUGUCUCUGUGUCUCUCGGUAUCUCUCUCUGCCUCUGCCUCUGUCUCUGCUUCCUAGAUGCAGAUGAGACGAAGUGGAAGCCCUCAGCCUCCUUGCGUCUGCUACCACACCUUCCCAGCCGUGAUGGACUCAGUCCCGGGAUCAUAACCAAGUGAGCUCUUCUUCCUCAGUUUCCGCUGGUCACAGUGUUCUGUCACUGUCGUGGAGAGCACUUAACACAGCACCAGGUGCCUGAACUGACCUUAAGAGACAGUAAACCCAAGGAUCUGUCAUGUGACUCAAGGAUCUGUCAUGUGACCCAAGGAUCUGUCAUGUGACUCAAGUUUCAUCAGGACUCAUCGUGAGUGGUGAGUGAAAACGAUCCGCCAUGAGAGUCUGGAACCCUUAUUAUAUGUUAUACUAGAUACAUUAUAAUAUAUAGUUAUAUUAUAUAUUACAUAAAAAGGAGGGAGUUGGGGACCCCAGACUUAUGAGCAGUUGGCAGCAGAGGUUGGAGCUCAAAAGUUCUUCCCUGGGCUUCAGUGCCGCACUGGCACUGGCCUGUCAUAUAUACCUACACGCCUGGUCUGCCUGUUUAUGCAUUAUUGUUUUACAGUCCUCACAAGCGCUCUAGAAGUGUCCAUUGCUUCGUAGAACCGAGCAAUCCUCUAUCGUGGAUGCCUGCAAGGCUUUACUGACUGUCUUGAAAGCCAUUCACGGCUGCCUCUGCCUAGGCUGUGAUGGGGAAGGCAGAGACUACGGCAGCAAAGCUUUGUAGCCUCCAGUUAUACUUCCUUGUUCUGAGACCCAGGCAGCCCCUGAGACGGGAGCUGUCAUUAUGCUAUCAUCCAGAAGAGAGAACUGAGUCUUACCACAGAAACGCGCAUCUGAGAUCUCAGACCCUAAGGAGAGUUGGACUCCCAGGUCUGACUCCCACCCUGCUGACAAAGGGUCCUCUCUGGUCCCUCCUGUGAGACCUGCAGUGUUCCUCAGCCAAACCCUGGCCAGUGGCAUGGAAGGGCAUGGAGAGACUACAUCAGCCUUCCAGGGCAUAGAUCCUGGUUCAUUUAGCCCCUUUCUAGUGACAUGAACCCUUAGCAAGUUCUGGGAAUCCUGCGUGCCUCAGUUUCCCCUCUGAAACGGAAAUGACUAUACUCAUAGGAUUGCAGUGUGGACGUAGCAACAUCGUGUUGCUCAGAGGAUGUGUGUGGGAAUUUUACAAAUGAAUCAAGCUAAGAGUCCCGAGUGAAGACAUGAGCAAUGCCCACUGAGCAUUCUGGGAACUCAUUCCUUCUCCACUCGCUGUUCUCCACCCGCCCACAGAGCAGCCUGUGUGUUGUGAGCACUAGGCUUCCCCUCCUCUUGGGAGACAGUGAUCGUGGAAGGUGGAGGACUUGAGCCUAGAGAAAGGAGAACCACAGACAAGUCUGCCUGGCAUGAGAUCUGGGCCAACCCCCACCCUGCUGUUUUUACAAGGUAUCCUCAGCCUUGCAAAGGCUGAGUUUAGCCACUGGCCCUCCCUGUUCAUGGCCGUUAUUACAAGAGCAGAACGUUUUGUUUUGCAACCCACUCAAAUCAGUGUUCUCAUCUAGGGCACACCAGUCAGGCGAAAUAUUUUCUGAUGGUCGAAACUUGGGUCGUGGGCACUCUUGGUGUCCAGAAGAUGAAGGCCAGAGAUCACUCAGCAUCCUACAGUGCACAGGGCACCCUUCCCUGCCCUUGCAGGGAUGUACCUGGCUCAGUAUUGCCAGGACUGAAAGAGAGAAGAGAGGGAGGGCUGGAGAGAUGUGGGAGAGCUCUGCGUCCGGUCCUAGCCGGGAGGAAGCUGAGGCAGUCUGCAUCCUGGCAGGAGCCAGGAAAACUCUUAGAAAAGCUUUACAGCUGAUGCAGGCUGAGGCCAUCUGAUUUGGCUUCUUCCUUGGCUUAUCUGUGAGAACAAGGAUUCCGCUUGCAGUAUAAAUGUAUGUUAGCGUGAAAUUGGAAGCCAUAGAAAUCCAGAAAGGCGAAGGGGCAGUGAGACAAAGACCUAGUCUCCAGGGCCAAAAAGGUCUCCUGUCAGUACUCGAUACUGCUACCAUCGGGGUAGCAUUGCUCAAGUCAGUUUCACUCUGCCAAUCUCAGAGCUCUCUGUUGCAUCUUUCAGCCAUUACAGCAUUCUGGCCCUCCAUUGUGGAGAGAAGAUUAGGAAAAUAAUGGUAUGGAAAUAUGAAAAAGUGGUAUGUAAGUAUAUGCACCACAUGUACAUAAGGAACAUAAAUGGUGCUUUGCAAUAGAUAAGUAGCUAGGUACACAAGUGUUUCAAUAAGCAUACAACUCAAUACACUUAUAAUACGGAGUACACACAUAAGCACACAUGUGGGGG